AUUGAACGCUCGCGGGAUGCUUUACACAUGCAAGUCGAACGAGUGGCGGACGGGUGAGUAAUAUCUCGGAACGUGCCCAGUAGCGGGGGAUAACUACUCGUAACGGUGGCUAAUACCUCAUACUAUUGGAGCUGCCGAUAUCGGAUUAGCUCGUUGGUGGGGUAAAGGCUCACCAAGGCCACGAUCCGUAGCUGGUUUGAGAGGACGACCAGCCACACUGGAACUGAGAGACGGCCCAGACUCCUACGGGAGGCAGCAGGGGGGAAUUUUGGACAAUGGGCGAAACCCUGAUGCAGCCAUACCGCGUGUAUGAGAAGGCCUUCGGGUUGUAAAGUACUUUUAGCAGAGAAGCGGUACCUGCAGAAUAAGCACCGGCUAACUACGUGCCAGCAGCCGCGGUAAUAC
rnacentral:rRNA from 1 species